AGCGAACGCUGCGGCAGGCUUAACACAUGCGAGUCGAGCGCCCCGCAAGGGGAGCGGCAGACGGGUGAGUAACACGUGGGAACGUGCCUUUUGGUUCGGAACAACCCAGGGAAACUUGGGCUAAUACCGGAUAAGCCCUUACGGGGAAAGAUUUAUCGCCAAAUGAUCGGCCCGCGUCUGAUUAGCUAGUUGGUGGGGUAAUGGCCCACCAAGGCUACGAUCAGUAGCUGGUCUGAGAGGAUGAUCAGCCACAUUGGGACUGAGACACGGCCCAAGCUCCUACGGGAGGCAGCAGUGGGGAAUAUUGGACGAUGGGGGCAACCCUGAUCCAGCCAUGCCGCGUGAGUGAUGAAGGCCUUAGGGUUGUAAAGCUCUUUUAGCAGGGAAGAUAAUGACGGUACCUGCAGAAAAAGCCCCGGCUAACUUCGUGCCAGCCGCCGCAGUAA
rnacentral:rRNA from 1 species